UUCUCUUGGCCUUGAAGGAUAGGCAGAUGAAUAAGACAAAUCUCUUGUUCGCAUGGAACCUUAAACUUAAUAAAGAGGUAUAGCAUAUACACAAAUAGGUAUUUUAUAAAAUGAAACAUGUUAAGUGUAAAUGAGAGGAACAAAGUGGUAAUUACAAUUUUGUUUUUCCUUUCAGUCUAAGUGAUAUAAUCCAAUGGUAGACAUUUGAAGUUAAUCAGGAUGUCUGAGAAAGAAAAAGGGACAUACUUUCCCCAAAGGUACCCAAUAGCAAUAAAGAUUUGGACAUCAAUACAUCCUUAUUGACCUUUCCAUUAUAUAAGUCUUCAGGAGCCCUACAAGGACUGUUACAUUUCUGUCUCUGUUUCACUAUUGAAUGACAUAAUCCUUGCUAUAGAGUAGGUAUGAAUAAAGGCUCAUUGAUUUAGUUAGAAGAUAAUGAUUCUGGUCCUGGUCUUGCUAAUGACAUACUUAGUUUGAGCUAUAUAAAUGUAGAAUGGGUUGCCUUCAGAGGCUGCAUUGUUGUUAUUCAGUCAUAUCAGUUGUGACUAACUCUUUGUGACCUCAUUUGGAGUUUUCUUGGUAGAGAUACUGGAAUGGUUUGCCAUUUUUUCUUCUCCAACUCAUUUUACAGAUGAAGAACUGAGGCAAAUGGGGAUUAAAUGACUUUUUCGGGGUCACACAGCUAGUGCCCAGAUGAGAGAGAGAGAUGUUUGACUGAUACCCAGGGUCACAGAAAUGAUUCAUGAAGAAACUUUCUGGAGAGAAUGUAUGAUGCCACUUCUUGCUUAGAAUGGCUAUGGAGAACAUUUGUCUUCUGGGCCAGUGAUAAGAAUUCACCAGGAGGACUUAGGAGAUUGAACUCCAUCAAAGAAACAACACACGAUACCAAAAGCCUCACUCCCAAGGACAACAUAUGCAGGAAAACUGCAAAAGUAUAAGUUAUAGAUUUUCGUCAUUAAAAUCUUGUGAUUUGAAAACCAACAAUAA